rnacentral:rRNA from 1 species
AGACCCGAAACCCGGUGAUCUAGCCAUGGGCAGGUUGAAGGUUGGGUAACACUAACUGGAGGACCGAACCGACUAAUGUUGAAAAAUUAGCGGAUGACCUGUGGCUGGGGGUGAAAGGCCAAUCAAACCGGGAGAUAGCUGGUUCUCCCCGAAAGCUAUUUAGGUAGCGCCUCGUGAAUUCAUCUCCGGGGGUAGAGCACUGUUUCGGCUAGGGGGCCAUCCCGGCUUACCAACCCGAUGCAAACUGCGAAUACCGGAGAAUGUUAUCACGGGAGACACACGGCGGGUGCUAACGUCCGUCGUGAAGAGGGAAACAACCCAGACCGCCAGCUAAGGUCCCAAAGUCAUGGUUAAGUGGGAAACGAUGUGGGAAGGCCCAGACAGCCAGGAUGUUGGCUUAGAAGCAGCCAUCAUUUAAAGAAAGCGUAAUAGCUCACUGGUCGAGUCGGCCUGCGCGGAAGAUGUAACGGGGCUAAACCAUGCACCGAAGCUGCGGCAGCGAACGUAUCACCCAAGACAACUUUACGGAGUUGACGAUUGACGGAGCGAAGCGACGUCAAAGCGUUCAUUAAAGUCGAGUUGGCUUAGGGAUACGUUCGUUGGGUAGGGGAGCGUUCUGUAAGCCUGUGAAGGUGUGUCGUGAGGCAUGCUGGAGGUAUCAGAAGUGCGAAUGCUGACAUAAGUAACGAUAAAGCGGGUGAAAAGCCCGCUCGCCGGAAGACCAAGGGUUCCUGUCCAACGUUAAUCGGGGCAGGGUGAGUCGACCCCUAAGGCGAGGCCGAAAGGCGUAGUCGAUGGGAAACGGGUUAAUAUUCCCGUACUUGGUGUUACUGCGAAGGGGGGACGGAGAAGGCUAUGUUGGCCGGGCGACGGUUGUCCCGGUUUAAGCGUGUAGGUGUGUGUUCCAGGUAAAUCCGGUUCACUUUAACACUGAGGCGUGACGACGAGGCACUACGGUGCUGAAGCAACAAAUGCCCUGCUUCCAGGAAAAGCCUCUAAGCAUCAGGUAACAUCAAAUCGUACCCCAAACCGACACAGGUGGUCAGGUAGAGAAUACCAAGGCGCUUGAGAGAACUCGGGUGAAGGAACUAGGCAAAAUGGUGCCGUAACUUCGGGAGAAGGCACGCUGACACGUAGGUGAAGUGAUUUACUCAUGGAGCUGAAGUCAGUCGAAGAUACCAGCUGGCUGCAACUGU